GGGUCGUUAGCUCAGCUGGUAGAGCAACGGACUCUUAAUCCGAAGGUCGGGAGUUCGAUCCUCCCACGACCCACCA
rnacentral:tRNA from 1 species